CUUGACACUGAACAUUGAGCCUUGAUGUGUAGGAUAGGUGGGAGGCUUUGAAGCGUGGACGCCAGUCUGCGUGGAGCCAACCUUGAAAUACCACCCUUUAAUGUUUGAUGUUCUAACGUUGGCCCCUUAUCGGGGUUGCGGACAGUGUCUGGUGGGUAGUUUGACUGGGGCGGUCUCCUCCCAAAGCGUAACGGAGGAGCACGAAGGUUAGCUAAUCCUGGUCGGACAUCAGGAGGUUAGUGCAAUGGCAUAAGCUA
rnacentral:rRNA from 1 species